rnacentral:lncRNA from 1 species
CGCACGUAGCCUGCAGUGUGGGUCACGAGCGUCUGGUAGAAGAGCUUGACGGCCUCGCUGCGCUUUAGUCGAGACGCGAGCGCAAAGAAGGACAGGGCAGGCUCCUCAGCCUCCUCUCCGUCGUUGCCGCUGCCGCCUGCGGUAGCUUCUGGGGAAUGUGCCGCAGCCGCGGCAUGGGCCAGCUGGCGACGGAAAAUCCUGCGGCAAAGCAUAUCAUGAUUUCACGGUGUCGACGGGAAGUGGGUGCCGCCAACGCACAUCGCCAGCUGUCCUGAGCAUGUCACGGCAGGGGCAGGCCAGCCCGCCCUCCGUGGCCUGCCGUAGCCGAGCUGACUACUACGAACAGUUCCCGACAACAGCAGCGCCAUUAGCCAACUUCCUAGUUUGCUACACACAAGCUGCGGCACACGGACAACACAACAACAACAGCAACAAUAACAACAACAACAACAACUUUUUUUAAAUACAAGAUCCGCACGGUACGCAGGGCCGAGCGCCCCAAGACGCAAGCAUGUGCGUGUGUCGGGAGCGCACAGGCACAUCAAAAAGAGAACUGUAGGAGAAGCGAGCGACUUACGAGACAACCACUUGGGUGUUGCGGCCCAUAUAAGCCUGAGGGGGAGGAGCUUGCGUGGCCAAGCCGUUCGUUUCCUUCAGGCUGAAGUGGUGCCCUGCGCCGUCGGUGGCGG